rnacentral:rRNA from 1 species
GAGGUCCCGCCUGCCCUGUGACUAUAUGUUUAACGGCCGCGGUAUUUUGACCGUGCGAAGGUAGCGCAAUCACUUGUCUCUUAAAUGGGGACCUGUAUGAAUGGCAUAACGAGGGCUUGACUGUCUCCUCUUUCAAGUCAAUGAAAUUGAUCUCCCCGUGCAGAAGCGGGGAUAAGCACAUAAGACGAGAAGACCCUAUGGAGCUUUAGACACUAAAGCAGACCAGCAUUAAUACCCUGAACAUAGGGAACGAAUAAACUGACCCCUGCCCUAAUGUCUUUGGUUGGGGCGACCGCGGAGAAACACAAAACCCCCGCAAGGACCGAAUGUACUACAUUCACAACCAAGAGCGACAGCUCUAAUUAACAGAACUUCUGACCAAUAAGAUCCGGCAACGCCGAUCAAUGAACCGAGUUACCCUAGGGAUAACAGCGCAAUCUCCUCUUAGAGCCCAUAUCGCCGAGGAGGUUUACGACCUCGAUGUUGGAUCAGGACAUCCUAAUGGUGCAGCCGCUAUUAAGGGUUCGUUUGUUCAACGAUUAAAG